rnacentral:lncRNA from 1 species
UAAAAUAAUUAAGCUAUCGGCCCGUUUUAAAAUCAAUCAUAUUAAAAAACUCUGCCACAUAAUUUUAUAUGUUCUACGUGAACGAGAAACGCGAUAAGGAAAAUCUUCCACUUUUCCCAUUCCAGCUAUACGGCUGGAUAAAAUACAAAGUUUAAAGAUAACUGUUCCACUUCGCUCAGGGAUAAGCCGGAGAGCGAAAGCAGUCGCGAAUGUGUCUAAUGUACGAAUAUCCGUAAGUGGAGCGUAACUCAAAGGGAUGAAUUAAGUUUUAUACGCACUCGAGUGGUUACGAAAUAAAAAUAUACAUUUGCAUUUCGUGGAAACGCCCCGACACAAAGAUAUGUUUAAAGAGUGAGUGAUCCAAUUCGCGGCAAGCCAUCCGUUUUAUCCUCUUAGGAUACCCAUUCCUGUCCACUCAGAUCUAGCCGCCCAUUUCUGAUGUCAAAGACUGAGCACUGGAAAAACAGGCGCGAUCCUCUGAAAGUUAAAGAGUGCAGCGGUUCGUGGGAAAAAGCGGCUGAGUGUCCCUUCAUAAGACCUACGGCUGGAAGGACUGAGCGCGGUAUUAGCCGCGAUGGUUUAUGGACAUUCAUAACGAUGUACGUGGCAAUCGUGCGUUAAUUGUGGUUUUAUUGGAGAAUUUACCUGCUCGCGCAUAUCCCAACAUGCGCCAAUCAAAGUGACAUGAUCUCUCCAAUUGAUAUGCUAUCGUAUUACAUACAACACGCAAAUUAUUGUUACACCGUGAUCGCGCCAUGUAUGUCCCAGAGGACGAAUGAAACGGUCAGAGCGUGACUAAUGUAACCUCAGAUCUCCUCUCUUUCUGCUCAACGAUAAUCCACGUGGAUGUCUGACACGCAUACGGAAUUUAUUUCGUUCUCCCUCGCGGCGGGGAAAAAAAAGUUUUAUGACUAAUAUGCGAUAAUGUGCCAUCCAAUACAUAUAUAUUUUCCCGGAGCCUGAUAGAAUUGGAGACCCGUCAAUACCAGCCGCCGCAGAUGCCGGGCCGCCUCCGCUGUUCCGCCCGGCGCUGCACGGUAGUAAGCGCGCGGCCAAACUUUCCUCCUUAGUUAAAGUAUCAAUAUUUUUAGAUGGCGCGCGGCUUUCCCUUAUACCUGGGAUGUUAUUCCUCCGACGGUAUUGAUUUUCCUCAUUUCAACCAUUCACCUUAUCCCCCCUCCCUCCC